GCGCCUGUAACUCAGUGGUUAGAGUACGACGCUUAUAACGUCGGAGUCGAUGGUUCAAUUCCAUCCAGGCGCACGA
rnacentral:tRNA from 3 species